rnacentral:rRNA from 1 species
UACAGAGGUCUCAAGCGUUGUUCGGAUUCAUUGGGCGUAAAGGGUGCGUAGGCGGCGAGGUAAGUCGGAUGUGAAAUCCCGGGGCUCAACCCCGGGAACUGCAUUCGAUACUGCCUUGCUCGAGUACUGGAGAGGAGACUGGAAUUUACGGUGUAGCAGUGAAAUGCGUAGAUAUCGUAAGGAAGACCAGUGGCGAAGGCGAGUCUCUGGACAGUUACUGACGCUGAGGCACGAAGGCCAGGGGAGCAAACGGG